rnacentral:rRNA from 1 species
UGUAAGCGUAUACCAAAGUUGUUGCAGUUAAAACGCUCGUAGUCGGACUUUGGCAGUUCCGGAUGUGUGCACGUCGUGUGCGCACUUCGCGGGGAUUGCUUUUGUGGUCUUGCGUAGGAUGAGGCACUUUUAUUAGUGAACGUCCUCACGCAACCACUUUUUACUGUGAGAAAAUCAGAGUGCUCAAAGCAGGCAUUUGCCGUGAAUGUAUUAGCAUGGAAUAAUAGAAUAGGACUUGGUUCUAUUUUGUUGGUUUGUUGGGACUGAGUAAUGAUUAAGAGGGACAGUUGGGGGCAUUUGUAUUUCGGUGCUAGAGGUGAAAUUCUUAGAUUACCGAAAGACAAACUGCUGCGAAAGCGUCUGCCAAGGAUGUAUUCAUUGA